AUUUCUUAUGCGGCUAAAUGCCUCCUCAGCUUCCCCAGUGAAGAGAUGUGGACUGGUUGUAUACAAGUAGGCUUGAGAAAGUCCAUUACAAUCUCGGGUAGAAACUUCUCGUCCAUUCAUUGUAGUUCUUCUUCCGCUCAUCCCGAUCCAUCUUUCUCUAAGAAUAGGUUGAUCAAUAAUUCCAACAAUCGGUUUUCCCUUGUGCAGAAGUGCAAUUAGAGUACCAAACAACGGUUUGCCUGUAAUGAAGCUUUUAGUCCCAUCAAUCGGAUCCAG
rnacentral:misc_RNA from 1 species